CAUUAUGAAGCUAGUAAGCGUUAACCUUUUAAGUUAAAGACUAGGAAUAGUAUUUCCUCAUAAUGA
rnacentral:tRNA from 1 species